rnacentral:rRNA from 1 species
CCCUUAGAUGUUCUGGGCCGCACGCGCGCUACACUGAUGCAUUCAACGAGCCUAUCCUUGACCGACAGGUCCGGGUAAUCUUUGAAUCUGCAUCGUGACGGGGAUAGAUUAUUGCAAUUAUUAAUCUUCAACGAGGAAUGCCUAGUAGGCGCAAGUCAUCAGCUUGCGUCGAUUACGUCCCUGCCCUUUGUACACACCGCCCGUCGUUCCUACCGAUUGGGUGUGCUGGUGAAAUGUUCGGAUCGGCCGUUUGUCGCGGUUUCCGCGGCUCGUGGCUGAGAAGUUCAUUAAACCCUCCCACCUAGAGGAAGGAGAAGUCGUAACA